rnacentral:lncRNA from 1 species
AGACGCAGAUCAGCCGAGGUCACGGCGUAGGCAGCCAGAGUGGGCUCAGGACCUCCGCCAGCAGUGAAACCGUCCCGGUUCCCGGAGACCCAGCUUGGACGGCUGUGCCUACCCCAUGCCCCGCCGGGGCUCAGAACCGCACAGGUCUAUAGGGGCGGAAAUCUCCGCUUGAGCUCCCCCUUCCCGGAUUACACGCGAGCCUGAGCUGUCUCCACUCCAUUGUUUUAUUAUGUACAAACGCUACAGAACGAGGGGGACAGACACGCGUGGGGUAAGAAGGGCCUGGUGGGAGGAGUUCACAGAGCAGACGGUGCACUGGGACCAGGAGAGCAGAACACAGGCCAUAACUAUAGGGCAGGUGGGGCAGGAACGGGUUAAAAACGAGAUCCAAGCCAGCCAGAUCGCAGGAGGUGCGGGGGCGUCGUCCCCCUUCUGUUCUCCCCCCAAGGUC